AAUUUUCUAAAUUAGUGCAAAUUAAUUCAUAAAUUUAGGAUAUCAAUUAAAAGUUUCUUUGAAUGUUGUAUAGUUGAAAUACCGAAAUAACCUCGAAUGAUGUAACCCUUUUACCUGCUAAAUGUUUAAAUUACAUCUUUACUCUCUAUUAAUCAACGGUUAAGAUCUAUUUUAAUUUUUUAAUAAUAAAGUACCGAAUCAUUUCUCAUAUAUAUUAUCUGUAUACUCUCGUAUCAAAUGCAUAUAUCUUACAUCUAAGUCAUCUAAGUGCUUUUAUUUUUUAUUUACCCUAUUAUUUGUUUUUAUUACUUGAAGAGCAAAAAAAAUUUAUAAUUUUCAGGCUACGUAAGUUAUAAGAUUUAUAUUUAUGUGCAAGUGUACAAGUAUUAUUUAUUAAAAGCAAAUUCUACUUUAUUGAUUGAUCUGAGGGUGCGUUUGGUUUACAUUAUGAAAGAUUACUAGGAAUAAAAGAUAUCCGAGAAUCUUAUUUCUAUUCAUACUAUUAUUAAGAAUGUGGAAUUUCUGUGUUUGGUUCGCACGGUAAUAUUAAUUAGCCAUGUUAUUUAAUAUUACAAAAAAUAUACAAUUAAUUUAUUUAUUUAUUUAAUUAAUUUUAGAUAAUGUUACCAAAAAUUUCAACAUCUUUUUAGAAAAAAGGAAGAGAGAGUAUAAGUUAGAGAGAGAGAGCAUAAUUAAAAAAAAAGAAAGAAAAAUAUAGUCGAAAUUAGAGGGAGUGAGAGAGUUGAAAUUUUAGAAAGAGAGAGAGAGAAAGCUUAGUUUAGAGAGAGAAAAAAAAAGUUGAAUUUUAGAGAGAAAAAUAAGUUUAGAGAGAGAUAUAAGGUUAGAGUGUAAAGAAAAAUAAUAUCAAUUAGCCGGCGGGUAGGAAGAAAGAAAGAGAUUAGAUAUAUUAUGAUUACCCCAAUCCAUUAAUAUGAGGAUACCCACCCUCCCUCAAGGGAAUGAGAUUAGUACUUUGGGGUGAAUCUUAUUCCCAAGUGAAUCUAAUAUUACCAACUAGAUUACUUAGUGCGUUUAGCCAAACACCGUUAUAUUUUUUAUUCACAUUGGAUUACUAGUAAUCUUUAAAAGAUAGCGCGAACCAAACGCACCCUGAGUGUAAUAAAUAGAUGUUUUUAAAUCACAUUGAUUAUAAAAUGGUACACAGACAUUACAGCAUUGUGUUUUAAUAGGUGAGGCAGGACAAAUGCUAUAAAGUCACCAAAAAUAAGAUAUAUCUGUCUCAUAAUCGCUCAAUUGCAUUAUUAUACAUAACUUAAAUAAAAUUGCAUAAAUUUUACAUUAUCUUUAUUAUUUAUCUAAUAUUGUUAAAAUUUUUAAAUUUUUUUAUUACUUGAAAGCUAAAACUAGCUCCUAUGUCUUCCUUCUUUUCAAUACGUGAAAAUUUAACAAAAAUAAAAAGUGUAUAAUAGUUUUUUCUUUAAUAAUUUGGUGAAGUUUGAGUGAGACAUAUCUUUUAUUACUCCUUUAGAGCUGGAACUUGUAUAAUUUAAUUAGGUCUUUGUUUGAAUGCAUAAGCAUAUUAUUAUUCAGUGUAUUUUUUAAUUUGUUGAGAAUAUUUUAGCAGUUGAAAAAAAAAAAUAUGAAAAAGUAUCUAAAACAAAUACUAUUUUU
rnacentral:lncRNA from 1 species